rnacentral:ncRNA from 1 species
AUAGAUACAUAAAAAACUACCUGUAUAUUUUUGAAGAUAUGGUUCAAAUGUUUCUACAUAGCUACCGUAAAUAGCUUGACUACAGGAGCUUAAUAUAAAGUA